UACGAAGGGGGCUAGCGUUGCUCGGAAUCACUGGGCGUAAAGCGCACGUAGGCGGAUUGUUAAGUCAGGGGUGAAAUCCUGGAGCUCAACUCCAGAACUGCCUUUGAUACUGAGGAUCUUGAGUCCGGGAGAGGUGAGUGGAACUGCGAGUGUAGAGGUGAAAUUCGUAGAUAUUCGCAAGAACACCAGUGGCGAAGGCGGCUCACUGGCCCGGUACUGACGCUGAGGCACGGAAAGCGUGGGGAGCAAACAGGG
rnacentral:rRNA from 1 species